rnacentral:rRNA from 1 species
AUUGAACGCUGGCGGCAGGCCUAACACAUGCAAGUCGAGCGGACUGAGGUAGCUCGCUACCAAGGUUAGCGGCGGACGGGUGAGUAACGCGUAGGAAUCUACCUGGUAAUGGGGGAUAACGUUCCGAAAGGAACGCUAAUACCGCAUACGCCCUAAGGGGGAAAGUAGGGGACCUUCGGGCCUCACGUUAUCAGAUGAGCCUGCGUAGGAUUAGCUAGUUGGUAGGGUAAAGGCCUACCAAGGCGACGAUCCUUAACUGGUCUGAGAGGAUGAUCAGUCACACUGGAACUGAGACACGGUCCAGACUCCUACGGGAGGCAGCAGUGGGGAAUAUUGGACAAUGGGGGCAACCCUGAUCCAGCCAUGCCGCGUGUGUGAAGAAGGCCUUCGGGUUGUAAAGCACUUUCGGUCAGAAAGAAGGGUGUCAAAUUAAUACUUUGGCAUUUUGACGGUACUGACAUAAGAAGCACCGGCUAACUCCGUGCCAGCAGCCGCCGCAG